UUUUUCUGGGUUUUAUUCCCUUAGAUCUGGGGGCCAUUAAAUCUUUAAAAUUUACAAGAAACCCAGAAAAUAUUGUGCAGUUUUUGAGUGUAUGAACAUAAUAUAUGUGAAAAGUGGUUGGUUUGAAUUUUUUUGAAGGGGACGAUGAAAAUGAUGAGGGAGAAGAUCAAGAUCAAGAAGAUUGACAACUUGCCUGCAAGGCAAGUGACCUUCUCAAAGAGGAGGAGAGGGAUCUUAAAGAAAGCUGCAGAGUUAUCUGUUCUGUGUGAAUCGGAGGUGGCAGUUGUCAUCUUUUCUGCUACUGGCAAGCUUUUUGAUUAUUCAAGCUCAAGGUACCAGCAACACUUCUUUGACUUUUCCUUCCUUGAAAAAAAUAACCAGUUAGGUAUGAUCAUGAAUCAUGAUGUCUCUGUACUCUGACUUGACUUCUCUCUGUGUAAGUGAGAGAGGGAGAGAAGGGUGGAGGAGAAGAGUGUCUUUAUGGAAAUAUUGGUUCUUUCCUGAAAUUCCAUGGUUUGUUUUUUUGGUCGAAAAUCCAUGUAAAGAAAAAUACAAUGCAGAAUCCGAAAGCUUCUAAAAAGGGGGGAGAGAGAGAGAGAGAGAGAGAGAGAGAGAGAGCUAGAUAGUUGUACUGUAUUUCAAAGGAACUAGUUCGACGAUUACUACCUACCAUAUACUUAAGGAAAGUAAAGUCUACUUUUGAUUAAGACAACUUCUAUGAAACAUUAUUUUAUUAGUUUUCCAUGUUUUCAUCCUUGCUGCUUCAAUCUCAUCAUAUUAGGUGGGGCUUAUACAGUGAAAAAUAUCCUUGUCCCCGUCCAAGGAGUUAAAACUAAUGGUUUCCCUGUGAGAGACACAGUACGAUAGAUUAUCAAUUCAAUCAUACACUUAAAUAAAAAUAUUAGACACAGUAUGUUAGAUUAUCAAUUCAAUUAUACACUCAAAUAAGAAUGUUAGACACAGUAUUCCCACAAACGGCAAACUUUAUACUAGAUUCAUAGUCACACCAUAUAAAAUGAUAUAUAAUAUUCCUUCAAACUUAAGAUAGAGGGGGGGUCGUGUUUGAAAAGGCGUCCUUUCUGUCUCCUCACCUAAAUGUGGUUACAAACAUUGAAUUAUAUGAUUUGUAGUUUUCUUACUAGGAAUAAGUUGAUAUGAUGAUAACUGGGGAAUUCAUCAUAAAGCCUUGAAGACUUUCAGCAGGAAUAUGCACCCAUUUUCUCAAGUAGGGCAAUGGGUGGUGGAGCUAUUACCAUAACAUGUUUUUGCCAUGAAUGCAUGCAUGUGAGGAAGGAAAAAGAGGGAGGAGGGUGAGAAUGAAAUGUUAACUGUGGAAUAAGAAUUUAAAUAUGGUCAUGCUUGCUUUCGGUCAACAAAAAUAAUUAUAAUUUAUAUGUGCAUGCAUGAGAUGAGAGGAAGAAAAAAAAAACAGGGAGGAUGCGCUGAUCAUUUAUGUUUUUUUUUUUUUUUGGUUUAAAAAAAAAAAAAACUAGAAAUACCACCUCUAAGGUGGUCUUAUUUUACUUUUCUCGAAGUACAAUUUGAAAAUGCAAAUUAAGAACAAAAUUAGAUGACAAAGAAAACAAAACACGCGUACUAAUGGCCUUUUUGAUACACAAGUGGAGGUCUAAUCAUUUGUAAUUAUGAAAUUUCUAAUCAAAUUCCAUUGAAAAUUUCAUUUAAAAGUUAAUUUUCUAGGAUUCCAGAACCUAUUAGUUUGUUUGCUUGUUUUAUUUUCUAUUUUUUGGAGCAAAAACAAAAACUAUAAAAACAAAAACAAAAACAAAAACUAUAAAAACGAUUUUACUGAAAUCAACAUACAAUUAAAACUAAAGAAGAAUAAGUGUGUUGUUCUUUAGCCUUAGAUUUUAUUUUAAAUUUUUUUUCAAACUUCUCCAAGUUCCAAGUAGAGCAAUAUUAAAACGUUUGGAAAAGUAUUGCUCUACUUGGUUCUAUUAUACUGAGUUUUCGAAAUAUAUAAUGUACCGAAAGUCAUCGAAAAAACUAUGAUAUGCUAAAACAAAUGAUUCCUUAUGUAGUUAAGUUUCGAGAUGUUAUAUUUAUAUUUGUAUGUUUGAAACUCUAAGGGCUUGAUAUGCGAGGACAUCUUAACACAAGAUAUAGCAUAUGUUGUCUAUUCUUACUCACAUCAAAUUGUAUAUAUUAACGUGCCAAGCGUCCUUAGCCACUUCCACUAAGUUUUUUUCCCCUAGGAGAUCAUUCCUCUUCCCAUUUUAGUAGGUUUCACCACUUCCAUUGCAUCCGUCUAAAUAGUCCGGGAUGUAAAUUUAGGUUGUAGGGUUUUUUUAAGGGCAUGUUUCUCUAAAACCACUAGAGAGUUGUCACGACCCAACUUCACUAGCAAGAUAUUGUCCGCUUUGGGUUUGGGCAAUCACGUUUUUGUUCAUGUACUCAAACUUAUGCUAUUUUUCCCACAAGACAUCUUGGUAGGAAGUCAAGUGCCCACGCAUAUAUGGCACUUCAAUUUUCCAUCCCCGAGGAAUGUGAGAUUGCUCACUGAUCUUGCCCUUCUUGCCUUGCAUCCUUCAUGGAUCACAGGUCUUACAAUCCACCCCUCUUGGGGCUCAGCGUCCUUGCUGGUUCCCUUUCAGUCGGGGUCCAGCUCUAAUACCAUUCUAUCAUGACCCUGCUUCACUAGCAAUAUACUGGCCGAUUUCGGCGUAGGCCCUCACAUUUUUGUUCAUAAGAUCAAACUUAUGCUAUCUUACCCAAAAACCUCUUGAUAGGAUGUCAAGUGCCACACGUAUAUGACACUUCAUUUUCCUCUCCCUGAGGGAUGAGGGAUUGCUCACUGAUCUUACACAUUCUUGUCUUGAAUCAUUCAGGGCUUACAAGUCUUACAAGAGCGCCCAACGUUUGCUUUUGUCAAGGUUCGGUUGCCAAACUAUAUAAUAGUUUACUAAACAACUACUUAUAGGCCCUUCCACUUGUCACUUUUGAAAUACUAAGGUCGGGUUUCGUCCCUGCUCGAGUGGGUCUUGUAGUAGCUAUCUUCUUCCAUUGCACUAAACGGUAAGGAUAUUGGCAUGGCAUUAUGUCACUUGGUUGUUUCUUAGGAUAUGGCUUUGACAGUGUGGCCUAAUUGAUUCCGGAACUUACAAAAUAUUUUGUACAUUUAACUCGUCAUUGUUUAAUAGUGAAUAACGAAUGUUAUUGACUGUUGUUGCGCCCUAGGUUAGAAUUACACAAUACGAGAACCAUAAACAUACGGCUUUUCCUCCUUCUCCACUUGACACACUUCGAUCCUAAGAAUGUUUGGUUUUAAGAAUGAGUGGUUAGCCUUCUAGAAGUAUCGGUUUUCUCCUAACAUGUCUUAAUAUGUCCAUUAGAAUGAGUAGCCAAAGUUGGACUUGAUACAUCGAAAAAGUAUUGGUAACUUCAAUCACAAAGUUACGAAUUAUUACGCUAGUAAUUCCUUUUAUUUGUCUAAACCUAACUUAUAAUCUAACUCUAACUUAGUUGCUAUAAGGAGAGAUGAGAAUAGCUCAAGUGGCUUCAAAUUUGUAUUCAAGUAGGCAAAAAAUUUGGGCGUAGAGAGUGCCACUUAAAAAGAAUUGCGAUUAGCUUGACAUACUGACGGGGCCAAUGGUGUAACAGUUUGUGACGAUACAGUUAUUUUUGUUAUCUCUAGUAUUACUGGCGUCAUAUCACAAGGGUGCAAAAUGCAUUUGACCCUGGAUAUUUUUCCAAUACGUUUGGCAUAUAUGGCCUACAUAGAUUCAGCCAUCCACUGACUAAAAAGGAGGCGAACCAAAGAUAACAAGAUUCAAAACAUAUUGCAAUGAGAUCCAGAGUUGAUGCGAGAGGAAUUUUACUUGACGUUUUGAUUUGCGUAACCAUGCAGCCAGCCAGCCAGCCAUGCAUGCAGCCAGCAAAUAGCUUAACGUACGUUCUCAUUGUGCAUCAGUUUUGGGCCUUUUGGCUGAUUUUACUUGCAACACGACCACAUCUCAAAUAAACGUGUUCAUUUGAUUUCAAAAUCUUAAAAAUCUUACUUGUGAUGAUGGAAUGAAAUCUUGAUUGAUGAUGGGGGUCAGAUUAUUUUUUUCCUUGGGUAAAUUAGUUCCUCUGUUUUUCACUGUUACUGUUGAUGUAUUUUUUUUUGUAAUGCUCUCAGUGAGCGAAGGUAGAGAAUUUUAGUAUUAAAAAAAUUACAGAUUAUUAAAACUCUGAAUAUUCCUUAAAAUUGGUUUCUUAUUGAAAUAGUGCUUCUUAAAAGGAAGCAUACCAUACAAAAGAAAAUAGACAGAAGUGUGCCUCCGUGUUUGUAAACCAGAAUUUUUCAUAAGGAGUUAAUUAUUUUCCUUCUUUUUUUGGUUUCUCAUGUAUGUUUUGUCACAUGUUUUAAUUUGAUCUUCUAUGUCUACUAACUUACACUAGUGAACAUGCCAAUUGAUUGUGUUUUCCUUUUGUGUUGUGAAGUAUGAAGGAUGUUAUUGAAAGAUACCAAGCGCACAUAAAUGGUGCUGAAAAAUUUGACGAACCGUCUAUUGAGUUGCAGGUAAAUGAGUUUAAUGGUUUACCUUUUCCAUUUCGGACAAUACUUCCCUCUUUAUCUAUAAGGAGGAACUCCACCUUUUACCUUAUAUUUUUUAAUUGUCAAAACUGCUUUUUUUUUUCCUUUCACUCUUAAUUAAAAAAGAGAGGACACAUAUCAUUUUGUGAUUAAGCCACAAUAGAAGCGAAGAGUUCCUCCUUACAUAAGGAGGAAAGUUUUGUCCUUCCAUUUCCCCGCUUUAAAUUGUUGUGCAAUUAAUUAUAACAUAUUCUGUGAACUGCACUUUGGACCUUCAAAAUGCGUUUCUAUAGCAUAUAUGAAGGUUCUGAUUGUUUGAACAUAAGACAAAAACACCAUUUUGUUCGUUACACUAAGGCUCGUUUGGGACUACUUCUUUAAAAAGUACGUUUGCUCAUAAGUGCUUUCACUAGAAAAAAAAAAAAAGUGGCAAUAGUCACCAUUAUUUGGUGACAUUUGUGAUUUUAGUCACCCCAACAUUAGUCACCAAAUAAUGGUGGCUGUUGCCAAUUUUUUUUUUUUUGGGUAGUGUUCUAGCAAAAAUGCUUUUAUUAUAAAGAUGUUGAAAUUUUCAUUAAAAAAAAAAGUGCUUUCUAGAAACGCACUUUGGAUUGCUUUUAUAAAAAAUUACGCUUUUAGCCCUUCCAGAAGCACUAAACAAACCUUAGACGUAUGUAUAUAUGCAUGCAGCAGGUCGUCCUCUUGGGCUAAAUAUAUGUAGGUGGAUUUGACAAGUCCAUUUGUAGUGGGACUUAAUUUGGUCUCUACAUAAGAAUUAGCCAAUGAAAAAAUUGGAACAUAGACAUCAACUCAGUCAAUCAGAUUUUUAUAGUUUACUCUUACUGUUAGUUGUGUUCCAACUGUUUUGUUUUUAUUUUUUAAUUAUACACAAGGAAGAUAGUAAAUUCUUUUAAUUUUUAAUUAUUGGUGACAAACUGGCUUAUGUUCUUGUAUGUUUAAGUAAUUAAUUUGAUUCCAUUUUCAAAAUAGAAAAAUUGUAAUCCAUUUUUUUAUAAGCUUUUCAAGUGACAGACAGAUUAGAUUUACCUAAAUGAUGGUUUACGUAAUUCAUUUGAUUCCAUUUUCAAAAUAAAGAAAUCGUAUGUUUAAGUUGUUUCCUUUUCUGGACUGAUGUUUAUAAGCUUUUCAUGUGACAGAGACAGAUUAGAUUACCUAAAUGACGGUUCCAUUUCUCAUUUUAGCCAGAGAAAGAAAACCACAUCAGAUUGAGCAAGGAACUUGAGGAGAAGAGCCGCCAGCUGAGGUAAUAAUUAUUUCAUUCAGGAACUUGUAAGAUAUAUGUGGCUGUUUAGCUGGUAUUAUAUCGUUUGAUGUAUCUGCUGAAAUUGGACUGGCUUGCAACAGGCAGAUGAAAGGAGAGGAUCUUGAAGAGCUGAAUUUUGAUGAGUUGCAGAAGUUAGAACAACUGGUGGAUGCAAGCCUUGGCCGGGUGAUUGAAACUAAGGUCUGCCCUAGCUAAUUUCUUUUCUAUUAAGCAUGGUGCGAAGGCAUCACUCAGUGUUGUGGUUUAGGGCUCAUUUGAGAGUGAUUCUGGAUGCGCUAGAAUCACAUCUGGGAAAAAGCAUAUUCCAUGUGCUUCUCCAUAUAAUCACUUUUAGUGAUUUUAAGUGAUUCUGGGGAGAAGCACCUCUUAUGUGUUUCUUCUUAAAAACACUUAAAAUCACUAACAGUGAUUCUCCAUAAAAGUGAUUAUUGAACUAUCCAGAAUCACUUGCAAACGAGCCCCUAAUGAUUGAAACCGUUGAAUGGUUUAAUGAUCGAAACCGUUGCAAAUGUUCCAUUCCUUUCAGGACGAACUGAUUAUGAGUGAGAUUAUGGCACUUAAAAGAAAGGUUAGACGAUUAAUACGUACUCUGUAAAUGAGAAACAAAUUUCAACUAUUUACAAUAAUCAGGAUUUUAAAAAAAAUAUAUAAAUUAACAUCAAUAAUCAUAACCAAGUUUGGCUCUGGUUUUCUCUUCCAUGCACCGAAUCUAAUUUCAGAGAGCUGAGCUUGUAGAAGCCAACAAACAGCUAAGGCAGAGGGCAAGCAACUACCACAAUCAUGUACAUAUUUCUUCAGGAUUCUUCUUUCUGUUUGUUUUUAAAUGAAAAAAAUGGGUGAUUUUUUUCUUAACUUUGUAUUUUUUUUGCAUAGCAGAUGCUAUCCAGAGGAAAUAUUGGACCUGCGCUUAUGGAGCCGGAGAGGUUGAAUAAUAAUAUUGGUGGUGGAGGAGAAGAAGAAGGCAUGUCAUCUGAAUCUGCUACCUCCACCACCUGCAACAGUGCUCCCAGUCUCUCUCUUGAAGAUGACUCCGACGACGUCACUUUAUCUCUCAAACUGGGGUGAGCUAGCUACUUUUGCUUUGCUAUAUUUUGAUAAUUAUAUGUUUUAUAUAUAUAUAUACACACACACAUAUAUGUUCAUCAAAAUUUUACAUUUUUAUUUUUAUUUUUGUUAUUGAAAAUAAUAGAUGGCUUAUUAGAAUUAUCGUGAGCAUUAUUGCGUAUUAUGGUGGUUCAAAUAAAAUUAAAAUUAAAAUUAAAAUUAAGUUGCCCGCAUUGUUCUAUCGAAAAUACAGAAACUUUCGGUUGCAGGAUUUCAACACAAAAGGGGCUAUUGAAAACAUACAGGGAGGAAAUGUAUUCCACUCUCUCUAGACUAAAACAACAUAACCUGCAUAAAGUCAUAUACAAGUUAAAAUAUCUUCACCAACAAAUGUUGAUGUUGAUGGGCAGUUGCAUUCAUGGUAUUUCAAUUACUCUUCACCUUUUUAAUAAAUUUGCUUAUCACUUUUUAUUUUCUCUGAAUUUCAGGCUUCCAUAAUUUCUCUGGUUAAAAAGUGGAGGGUUGUGAUUGUGUGUAAGAUAAAUAAAGAAAAUCGAGAUAUUGUAAGAUAUCAGUGAUUGUGUGUGUCUUAACUCGAUACAAGAUUGAAAAAUAUUGAGGGGAAAGUAACUUGUGUUGUAUCUAAACCUAUGUAUUUUAUGCAACCUGACAUAUUGCUCUUUGACUUGUAUUGUCUUUAGAACUCUGUAUCAAUGCAGCCUGCUUUGGAGACUCUUGUGGACUUUGUAUUUGCUUGGGUUAUCAAUGUAAAUUGGAGCAUGUCUCAUAGAGCUUAUAUAUGAAAUAAUUGUCCAAUUUAAUGAGUUCAAUUUUGUUUUUUAUUUAGCCCAGAAUGUGGGGAAAAAGACAACUCAUUGACUACAAAAAAGAAAUGAUGUAGAACAGAUGACGGAAACAAUCGAAAAUGAGUUGAAGAGACUCACGCGCAAGGAUAAAUCGAACAAACUGCAUAUUUGGGCUCCGAAUUCAAAAUCAGGCCCAUGAUUCGUUGAUUCGAAUAGAACGACGUCAUGAGUAAAGCUUAUUUCUUAGCCAUGUUGUAUGGGCUUUUUCGGGCACCCGAGAUUGUUUAGAAAUUCGAAAUCUAGUUUUAAAGUUUUUACAAUUUUUAGAAACUUUUUUAUUUUUUUAUUUUAAUUCCUUGAUUAAUCCUAAGGUUUCUAGGAGUAUUUAAACAAAUUUUACCUGUGACUAGAGUUAUGUUUUAUUAUUUCAAUUAUCAAAUAAAUCUUGAAAUUUCCUAUAAGGUUGUAUAUGCUUGGCCCAUUGGCCCUUUGAGUAGGGCCUGGGCUUAGUUUAUUGAAGAUAGGGCUGACCCGAUUCUGUCAACUUUAUUUGCGCAUGAAAAAAACACCCAUAUAUAAUCGCAUUGUCUGCGUGGAUUAAAUUCAUACAAAAAAGAGGAGUGGGCUGGAGGAGCAAAGACAAAGCCAAGUGUUGCGACUCGAAUGGUGCAUAACCCGAGCAAAGUAAGCUGACAAGACAGCGCAGGACCUGUUUCAAAGGCCAUCCUCCUCCACAUAAAAAUGAAAUUCCCUUCUUUUUUUCUUUCGCAGCCUGACAAGUACUAAGAAUUAAACCCACUCCAAUAAAAACCAAAAAAAAAAAAAGAAUUAAACCCACUCCAACAGAACCAUUCACAAAAGUAAGUAAGAUGCCACAUUUUCUACUGUCACGAUACAAAAUCAACGGUGGAGAUCGCAUUUAUCAACUUCAAGUGCAUCUGUCACCGUCGAAUUGCUCAGGUUUCGUACCUAGUUUUCCCAAAAGAUACCGGAAGUAUGAAAAAAAACAGAGAAUAAUAGAAAAAGGUAUGUAAUUGUUUGUCCUUAAAAGGGAAAAAUUCAGUUUGAAAUUCAUUUUAAUCCCUUCCUUCGUUAAACAGUCAGCCAGCAGGAGAAGCAGCCAUUUCUCUCUCCCAUUCUCUUAGUUUUUCUGAGAACACCAAAACUUCAGACCCUGAAACCCCCCAAAAAGGUAAACAUUAAACAAAGAGAGGAAAACCCAGAAUUUUAAUUAGUUAAUUAAUGGUUUUUCCUCUUUUUCCUCCUCCUCUUCUUCUUCUUCUUCUUCUUCUUCUUCUUCUUUGUGCUUUGGUACUCUAGGCAUGUUGCUGUGAACUUGUGACCUAUUUUGGUUGGUGGGUUUUUCUGGGUUUUUUUUUUUUCACUUAGAUCUGGGGGCCAUUAAAUGUUUAAAAUUUACAAGAAACCCAGGAAAUGUUGUGUAGUUUUUUAGUGUAUGAACAUAAUAAUGUGAAAAGUGGUUGGUUUGAAUUUUUUUGAAGGGGGGAUGGUGAAGACGAUGAGGAAGAAGAUCAAGAUCAAGAAGAUUGACUACUUGCCUGCAAGGCAGGUGACCUUCUCAAAGAGGAGGAGAGGGAUCUUCAAGAAAGCUG
rnacentral:lncRNA from 1 species